CUUUAUUGUCAUUCUUAAAGGAUAUUUGUCAUUUUCUAAUGGUUAUUUAUUCCUAUUAUCAUCCUAGGUGUUUUCCUUUUUACCUAAAAUAGGAAAAAGACAAAUACAUUUUGGGAGUACUUAAAGACGCAAGCCAUCAUUCGCUCGGACUAUUUUAAUCGCAAAAUACUCCUCAAUUUGUUGUGCAAAUUUUCCUACCAGUAAUUUUUUUUCGAAUUAUAAUGGUAGCACUUUUUCAGAAAGGAAAUCUGACU